rnacentral:rRNA from 1 species
UGGCGAACGGGUGAGUAACACGUGAGUAACCUGCCCCUGACUCUGGGAUAAGCGUUGGAAACGACGUCUAAUACUGGAUAUGACCGCCGAUCGCAUGGUCUGGUGGUGGAAAGAUUUUUUGGUUGGGGAUGGACUCGCGGCCUAUCAGCUUGUUGGUGAGGUAAUGGCUCACCAAGGCGACGACGGGUAGCCGGCCUGAGAGGGUGACCGGCCACACUGGGACUGAGACACGGCCCAGACUCCUACGGGAGGCAGCAGUGGGGAAUAUUGCACAAUGGGCGAAAGCCUGAUGCAGCAACGCCGCGUGAGGGAUGACGGCCUUCGGGUUGUAAACCUCUUUUAGUAGGGAAGAAGCGAAAGUGACGGUACCUGCAGAAAAAGCACCGGCUAACUACGUGCCAGCAGCCGCGGUAAUACGUAGGGUGCAAGCGUUGUCCGGAAUUAUUGGGCGUAAAGAGCUCGUAGGCGGUUUGUCGCGUCUGCUGUGAAAUCCCGAGGCUCAACCUCGGGCUUGCAGUGGGUACGGGCAGACUAGAGUGCGGUAGGGGAGAUUGGAAUUCCUGGUGUAGCGGUGGAAUGCGCAGAUAUCAGGAGGAACACCGAUGGCGAAGGCAGAUCU